ACACCAAUAAACGCCAGGGUACUACGAGCUUUAGCUUAAAACCCAAAGGACUUGACGGUAUCCCACCCAACUAGAGGAGCCUGUUCUAUAAUCGAUGAUCCACGAUACACCUAACCAUUUCUUGCUUAUCAGCCUGUAUACCUCCGUCGCAAGCUUACCGUAUGAACGUUAAACAGUAGGCUCAAGGGCCAUAACGCCACAACGUCAGGUCAAGGUGCAGCUCAUGAAAUGGAAGAGAUGGGCUACAAUUUCUAACUUAGAACAAACGAAAUACUACAUGAAACAUAGUCAUGAAGGCGGAUUUAGCAGUAAGCAGAAAAUAGAGAGUUCUGCUAAACUUGGCCCUGGGAUG
rnacentral:rRNA from 1 species